rnacentral:rRNA from 1 species
GUAGGUGGCAAGCGUUGUCCGGAAUUAUUGGGGCGUAAAGCGCGCGCAGGCGGUUCUUUAAGUCUGAUGUGAAAGCCCACGGGCUCAACCGUGGAGGGUCAUUGGAAACUGGAGAACUUGAGUACAGAAGAGGAAAGCGGAAUUCCACGUGUAGCGGUGAAAUGCGUAGAGAUGUGGAGGAACACCAGUGGCGAAGGCGGCUUUCUGGCCUGUAACUGACGCUGAGGCGCGAAAGCGUGGGGAGCAAACAGGAUUAGAUACCCUGGUAGUCCACGCCGUAAACGAUGAGUGCUAAGUGUUAGGGGGUUUCCGCCCCUUAGUGCUGCAGCUAACGCAUUAAGCACUCCGCCUGGGGAGUACGGCCGCAAAGGCUG